AGAGAGAGAGAGAGAGAGAAAUCUUAUAUUGUAUCCCAAGCCAGUGAAGCGGUAUUUUUUUGUACAUCAAUUUUUUUAAGUUAAAAAAAAAAAGACACUAGUGGGUAAAUAGGUGAAGGAAGCAGACACCUCCAGCAGAUCUGAAGAAGAAAGGAAUUUAUUUCCCACCUAAGCUCCACUGUUUUACAUGAUUGCCCAUCCUAGUGACUAAAUUAGUCUUUGCUAAACCCCUAGCCAGGCUGCCAUAUUGAACCAGGACGCCACUUCCCUAUGUGGACAGUUGCCAACCUGUAGCAUUUUCUCCCCAGGAUAUAAAAAUACAUUUAAGGACAAAUAGGAGCCAACAUACCCCGCCUCCCUCAGUUCUCCUUUACCCACGCUGCCCUCCAUCAUCUCCCAGACCUGUCUGCAGACCCCAGCGGGUUACUGGAGAGGUAAAAAGCGAACUUUCUCUCCAGAACUUCAGUUGCGACUCCCCAUCAGCCCUCAGGUCUCAGGAUAGAGCCCGAGGGGGGCGUGGCUUCAGCCAUCGGAGCAAAGCUCCCAACCGUGUGGGGACCUGUCCCACGUUAAGGGGCAGUUCGCAACCACAGAAAAAGAUGGCCAGAGACGCUUCCAGAGCUCAGUCUGGGGAGAACUCCAUCCCAGCCCAGCAGGUCUCGUCCUGGAGGUUCAUCCCUGUGACAACACGUUUAAUGGGAAGGUGGAAGCUGAUGGUCCUUGGACUGGAGCUCCCACCAUCACACCAGGCUUGGUCUUUGAAAUGUCUGAGGUUACCGUCAUGGAGAACAUUAGCAGACUCAUGGGAGAACAAAUCCACACAGCAGAGCCUGGGCCUAUCCGAAGCCAUGAAGGGCAUGUAGAAAUUUCCCUGCAAAAGACACGCAGGCAGAGGGAGAAGGGAAACCCCGCAGGCGCUGGGCAUGCUGUGAGCAGCUUGGGCGCGUGGGGAGGCGGGGUCAGGCUGGAGGUAGGAAGACCAGCUAGAGGGUACUGCAUAAAAAGGAACAGAUCAAUGAUAUAUCUAAACGAUGGAGACAAUGAAAUAAUUUUUAAAGCGGCUAAUUCAGGGUUGCUCUGGCAAGUUUUCGGGCUGCCACAUCAAAGGGAGGUCUGUUCACCACACAGGCGAUGCCUUAUUUCAAAAAGCUGUGUUAUAUGUUGUUCAACUUCACUGAUGGGAAUUGUAUGUUUACUACAACUUUGGCAGAUGGUAGUAAAGUGCCUUGUAACUAAAUUCGCAUAUUUUGACAGUUUUCUGAUGGAAUGAAAUGUCCUUGUUUGUUAUAGUACUGAUUAAGAAAUAAUACGCUCAUUCAAAAUAAGUCAAUCAGAGAAAGACAAUUAUCAUAUGAUCUCCCUGAUAUGACGAAUUUGAGAGGCAAUGUGGGGGGCUUGGGGGGAGGGAAAGAAAAAGG